rnacentral:rRNA from 1 species
AUGAGGUGUGGAUAGCGGAGAAAUUCCAAUCGAACUCGGAUAUAGCUGGUUCUCUCCGAAAUAGCUUUAGGGCUAGCCUCGUGAAAGAUUACUGGAGGUAAAGCACUGAAUGGGCUAGGGGUCGAAAGAUUACUGAACCCUAUCAAACUAAGAAUGCCAGAUAAUUGAUUCACGGGAGUCAGACAAUGUGAGAUAAGUCUCAUUGUCAAAAGGGAAACAGCCCAGACCCACAGCUAAGGUCCCAAAACAUUGUUAAGUGGAAAAGGAUGUGGGGUUGCAUAAACAACCAGGAUGUUGGCUUAGAAGCAGCCACUCAUUAAAAGAGUGCGUAAUAGCUCACUGGUCGAGUGACCCUGCGCCGAAAAUUUAACGGGGCUAAAUCAUACACCGAAGCUUGGGAUUCCGAAAGGAAUGGUAGGAGAGCGUCGAAUAAGGGGUGAAGUCAGAGCGGAAGCGCUGGUGGACUUUAUUCGAGUGAGAAUGCCGGAAUGAGUAGCGAGAAUUAUGUGAGAAUCAUAAUGGCCGAAAAUCUAAGGUUUCCUGAGGAAGGUUCGUCCGCUCAGGGUAAGCCGGGAGCUAAGGCGAGGCGGAGACGCGUAGCCGAUGCACAUACGGUUGAAAUUCCGUAGCCACCGAAAGAUUUAAGUACAGGGACGCUUUAGAAGUGAUGUUGCCGGGCGAUGGUUGACCCGGUCGUAAGGGAUCGAAAAUGAGUAGAGAAGUCAUCAUGGAAAGAGACAAGAAAAGCUGUAUGAAUAUCUUAGGUGCCCGUACCGCAAACCGACACAGGUAGAUAGGAAGAAGAUUCUAAGGCCAACGGGAGAAGGGUUGUUAAGGAACUCGGCAAGUUGACCCCGUAACUUAGGGAUAAGGGGUGCUCAAGUGAUUGAGCCGCAGAGAAUAGGCCCAGGCGACUGUUUAGCAAAAACACAGGUCUCUGCUAAAUCGAAAGAUGACGUAUAGGGGCUGACACCUGCCCGGUGCCGGAAGGUUAAGAGGAGAUGUGAGAGCAUUGAAUUGAAGCCCCGGUAAACGGCGGCCGUAACAAUAACGGUCCUAAGGUAGCGAAAUUCCUUGUCAGGUAAGUUCUGACCCGCACGAAAGGUGUAACGAUCUGGGCACUGUCUCAACAACCCGCCCGGCGAAAUUGUAGUACCGGUGAAGAUGCCGGUUACCCGCGACUAGACGGAAAGACCCCAUGGAGCUUUACUGUAGCCUAAUAUUGGAUUUCGGUAUUUCACGUACAGGAUAGGUGGGAGACUGGGAAGCACAGGCGUCAGCUUGUGUGGAGUCGACCUUGGGAUACCACUCUUGGAGUGCUGGAAUUCUAACCUGCGGCUUUGAAGCAAGUCGGGGGACAUUGUUAGGUGGGCAGUUUGACUGGGGCGGUCGCCUCCUAAAGAGUAACGGAGGCGCUCAAAGGUUCGCUCUGCAUGGAUGGAAACCAUGCGUCAGAGUGUAAACGCAAAAGCGAGCCUAACUGCGAGAAUGACGGUUCGAGCAGUAACGAAAGUUGGAGUUAGUGAUCCGGCGGUAUGUGAAUGGAAAUGCCGUCGCUCAACGGAUAAAAGCUACCCUGGGGAUAACAGGCUGAUCUCCCCCAAGAGUCCACAUCGACGGGGAGGUUUGGCACCUCGAUGUCGGCUCAUCGCAUCCUGGGGCUGAAUUCGGUCCCAAGGGUUUGGCUGUUCGCCAAUUAAAGCGGUACGCGAGCUGGGUU